rnacentral:rRNA from 1 species
UUGGCUUAGAAGCAGCCAUUCAUUUAAAGAGUGCGUAACAGCUCACUGGUCAAGCGGCUUUGCACCGAAAAUUUCAGGGGCUUAAACUUGUUACCGAAGCUGCGGAUUGUCCUCGUUUACGAGGAUAGUGGUAGGGGAGCGUUCUAUAGUAGGUUGAAGGAGAAUUGAAAAACUCUCUGGACAAAUUAGAAGUGAUCAUGCCGGCAUGAGUAGCGAUAAAACAAGUGAGAAGCUUGUUCGCCGUAAGCCUAAGGUUUCCUGUGGAAGGCAAGUCCACACAGGGUUAGUCGCGUCCUAAGUCGAGGCUGAAGAGCGUAGACGAUGGGUAACAGGUUAAUAUUCCUGUACCACCACCAGGCGAUUGAAUCUAGGAGAGACGCAAACAUUAGAAUCUACUAGCGGAUGGAAGUGCUAGGUCAAGCGGACGGAGGUUCCGGUUAAUCCCGGAAAUUACCUCUGAAAGUGAUGAGGUGUCCUUAAGGACUGAACUGGUUCGGUUGUUUGCCAAGAAAAGAACUCCGAGAGGACAAAUGGUGGUGUGCGUACCGCAAACCGACACAGGUAGGCAAGGAGAAUAUCCUAAGGCGCUCGAGAGAACUCUCGCUAAGGAACUCGGCAAAAUGGCUCCGUAACUUCGGGAGAAGGAGCGCUUGAGUUGGCUGGUUCGCCAGUCUAGCGAAAGCCGCAGUGAAAAGGCCCAUACGACUGUUUACUAAAAACACAGGUCUGUGCUAAAUCGCAAGAUGAUGUAUACGGACUGACGCCUGCCCGGUGCUGAAAAGUUAAGGAGAGGGGUUAGAGCUUAGGCUCGAAGCUCUGAACCGAAGCUUCAGUAAACGGCGGCGGUAACUAUAACCGUCCUAAGGUAGCGAAAUUCCUCGUCGGGUAAAAUCCGACCUGCACGAAUGGCGUAACGAUAUGGGCACUGUCUCAGCGAGAGACUCGGUGAAAUUGUAUUAUCGGUGAAGAUGCCGAUUACCCGUAAAAAGACGGAAAGACCCCGUGAACCUUUACUAUAGCUUGAUAUUGAAUUUGGGUUUAGCUUGUGUAGGAUAGGUGGGAGACUUUGAAGCUGGAGCGCUAGCCCCAGUGGAGUCGUCCUUGAAAUACCACUCUUGUUGUAUCUAAAUCCUAACUCUGGUUUGUAUAUCCAAGCCGAGGACAGUGUCAGGUGGGUAGUUUGACUGGGGCGGUCGCCUCCCAAAGCGUAACGGAGGCGC